rnacentral:rRNA from 1 species
CAGCCGCCGCGGGAACACGAAGGGGGCUAGCGUUGCUCGGAAUUACUGGGCGUAAAGGGAGCGUAGGCGGACAUUUAAGUCAGGGGUGAAAUCCCAGAGCUCAACUCUGGAACUGCCUUUGAUGCUGGGUGUCUUGAGUGUGAUAGAGGUAUGUGGAACUCCGAGUGUAGAGGUGAAAUUCGUAGAUAUUCGGAAGAACACCAGUGGCGAAGGCGACAUACUGGAUCAUUACUGACGCUGAGGCUCGAAAGCGUGGGGAGCAAACAGGAUUAGAUACCCCUGUAGUCCCUGUCUCUUAUAC